GACGAACGCUGGCGGCGUGCCUAAUACAUGCAAGUUGAGCGCUGAAGGUUGGUACUUGUACCAACUGGAUGAGCAGCGAACGGGUGAGUAACGCGUGGGGAAUCUGCCUUUGAGCGGGGGACAACAUUUGGAAACGAAUGCUAAUACCGCAUAAAAACUUUAAACACAAGUUUUAAGUUUGAAAGAUGCAAUUGCAUCACUCAAAGAUGAUCCCGCGUUGUAUUAGCUAGUUGGUGAGGUAAAGGCUCACCAAGGCGAUGAUACAUAGCCGACCUGAGAGGGUGAUCGGCCACAUUGGGACUGAGACACGGCCCAAACUCCUACGGGAGGCAGCAGUAGGGAAUCUUCGGCAAUGGACGAAAGUCUGACCGAGCAACGCCGCGUGAGGGAAGAAGGUUUUCGGAUCGUAAAACUCUGUUGGUAGAGAAGAACGUUGGCGAGAGUGGAAAGCUCAUCAAGUGACGGUAACUACCCAGAAAGGGACGGCUAACUACGUG
rnacentral:rRNA from 1 species